rnacentral:rRNA from 1 species
UACAGAGGUCUCAAGCGUUGUUCGGAUUCAUUGGGCGUAAAGGGUGCGUAGGCGGCGCGGUAAGUCGGGUGUGAAAUUUCGAGGCUUAACUUCGAAACUGCAUUCGAUACUGCCGUGCUUGAGGACUGGAGAGGAGACUGGAAUUUACGGUGUAGCGGUGAAAUGCGUAGAUAUCGUAAGGAAGACCAGUGGCGAAGGCGGGUCUCUGGGCCGAUACUGACGCUGAGGAGCGAAAGCGUGGGGAGCGAACAGG